rnacentral:lncRNA from 1 species
UACAAAAACAGAAAGCACAGCUUUUGUUUCACAUAGAUUUUUUCCGUAUGUCUAUGAAGAACUCUGUCGGGGAUAUAGUGAGAGGCAUCACUUGUAAAAUAGGUAAGACGUCUACUUAAAGUUGCAAAACGUAUCAGGUAGUCAAAACGUAAAUUUUGUUUUACAUUUUGUUUAAGUAAACUAUACAUCUGUUGUUUUAUUUUGAACCAGUCUAUGAUGAAUAAAUGGAGAUGUGGUGUUAUACGCCCAUGAUAUAGUAUCCCAACUUACAAAACUAACCAAACGAUAUCAAGGGUACACAAUAUGUCUUUAACCAACCACGAAACAAAAUGUUAACACGUGACACGGACAACAGUUAAAACGUAUUUGUUUUAUAAACUAUAACUAAUGGUUUACUUUUAUAAUUUGUUAUUUGGAUGGAGAGUUGUC